rnacentral:tRNA from 1 species
UUUAUCUAUAGGCUAUAAUUGUAUUUAUCUAAUAUAAUUCUAUAG